rnacentral:rRNA from 1 species
UAGGGAAUAUUGCGCAAUGGGGGAAACCCUGACGCAGCAACGCCGCGUGGAGGAUGACGGUUUUCGGAUUGUAAACUCCUUUUCUACAGGAAGAUAAUGACGGUAUUGUAGGAAUAAGCACCGGCUAACUCCGUGCCAGCAGCCGCGGUAAUACGGAGGGUGCAAGCGUUACUCGGAAUCACUGGGCGUAAAGCGCGCGCAGGCGGUUUGCCAAGUCUUGUGUGAAAGCCCAUGGCUCAACCAUGGAACUGCAUGGGAAACUGGCAGACUAGAGUGCGGGAGAGGCAGAUGGAAUUCUUGGUGUAGGGGUAAAAUCCGUAGAGAUCAAGAGGAAUACCGAUAGCGAAGGCGAUCUGCUGGAACGUAACUGACGCUGAGGCGCGAAAGCGUGGGGAGCAAACAGGAUUAGAUACCCCCGUAGUCC